GUAGUUUUUCAGGAAUUUCUGCACCACCAAAUUCAGCACAUGCACCAGGCAAGGGAUGUGCGUCAAACCGGCAAGGCCCAGAGCUGCUACGAGAUUUCGCCCAUUAUCGCACACCACCAGGCCGGGCUUGAGGCUCAGUAGCAACAAAAACUCAUUGGUCUGUUGUUCCAUGCCUGUCUACAGCUCCUGCACAGUUUUCCCCCCAAACAUAUGAG